CUGAGAAACCCUCACGCUGUCUGACACCAGGGGUUAUAUUAAGGUUCUACUGAGAAACCCUCACGCUGUCUGACACCAGGGGUAUAUUAAGGUUCUACUGAUAAACCCUCACGCUGUCUGACACCAGGGGUAUAUUAAGGUUCUACUGAGAAACCCUCACGCUGUCUGACACCAGGGGUAUAUUAAGCGAGGCACACU